rnacentral:rRNA from 1 species
UUUUCGCUCUAAGAUGAGUCCGCGUAAGAUUAGCUAGUUGGUGAGGUAAUGGCUCACCAAGGCGACGAUCUUUAACUGGUCUGAGAGGAUGAUCAGUCACACUGGAACUGAGACACGGUCCAGACUCCUACGGGAGGCAGCAGUAGGGAAUAUUGCACAAUGGAGGAAACUCUGAUGCAGCGACGCCGCGUGAGUGAUGAAGGCCUUCGGGUCGUAAAGCUCUGUCGCAGGGGAAUAACACAAUGAAUGUACCCUGUAAGAAAGGAUCGGCUAACUUCGUGCCAGCAGCCGCGGUAAGACGAGGGAUCCUAGCGUUGUUCGGAAUUAUUGGGCGUAAAGCGGAUGUAGGUGGCUUUGUAAGUCAGAUGUGAAAGCCCAGGGCUCAACCCUGGAAGUGCAUUUGAUACUGCGAAGCUUGAGUGUCGGAGAGGUUACUAGAAUUGUUGGUGUAGUGGUGAAAUACGUAGAUAUCAACAGGAAUACCGGAGGCGAAA